rnacentral:misc_RNA from 1 species
CAUCAUCAUCAUCAUCAUCAUCAGUUGUGGCCUUGUGGAAUUGGUUAGUUAAAUAAUGUCACUGUGCAUAAUAUUAAUGUUUGAUUUAGUGGUGUCUUUUCGGCUAAACUACAAAAGCCCACUACUGCAUGCACUACAGUCUUUUCAGACUAAUCCCAGCUUACCCAUGACCCAUCACCAAUAGAAAUAUCUGUCUGAAAGUAUCGUGCCAUUCAUAUUACCACGUAGUCACGAAUCAUUUGCCGAGCCAAGUUGUGCCCAAGCAAGGUAUUUUGCCUCUUCUGUUUGUAUUUUAUGUUUUUCGCUGUCCAUUUAAGAGUUUUAGGCCUAAUAUUUUGAUUAUUAAGAAUUCAAGAUAUGUGUAGUUUAUGUAGUAAUCGAGUUAAUUACGUAGUACGUACAUCACAAUCCUAAAGGAAGUGCCAGCGGCCUCAGGAACUUUAAAAGUUUGAUUCUUAACAUACUCUUUCCUAUAAAAAUAUCCGAUGCACUAAAAAAGAAAUAUUUCAAAAACUAAAACCAGCCUGGCUCAGUCUUGGAUUGAAACCAUUAAAAUUAAGUUGACUAAAAUAGAAUUUAAAUUUUACUGAAACCAUUUAAUUUGAUUUUAGGUUUAAUUUUUUUUUUUUGGUUAAAAAUAAAAAAAAAAUUUAACGAAACUGGUUUUAAUUCUGAUUCUCCUAAAUUUUAAAUUGGAAUAAUCCAUUUUCAUCAAAUUCAGCCUGUUGGCUAAGUUUACCUUACCAAAAGCUUGAAAGGGUAGAUAAAAAUUUGAAAGAGAGAACGUAAAUGAUGAAAACAUUUGAAAGGAGGUAGAUAAAGGGAUGAUCUUCCCUCGGGCCCAAUAAUAUUUUCUUUCCCAUUUUAGAGGAAAAGUGAAGUUUAAUUAAAAAAAAUUGAUGAGAUUAAAUAUUUAACUUUAAUAUAGUUUCUCGUGAGUAUCUAGAAAUAGAAUUGCUUGUCUUAAAAAUAUAGAGUGAAAGGGAAGGAAAGUAAGCGAAGAAAUCGAGAUUCAAGAAAGCAGAGGAGAGAAAAGAAUGAAGAAGAUAACAAGGAAGCUAUAUAUAUGUCUAUUAAUUUCUUUGACUUUUAUCAGUAAUUCUAUUUUAUUUUUGCAUGGGAUUAUGAAUGAUGCUUGGAAGUAGUUUCUUGGCCCCGUGCUGUUAGGUGUUAGACAGGCAUUUAGCCCUUUUUUUUCCUGAAGAACAUCUAUUUCAUCUAUAAUAUGGGUAUUAUUAUUUAGAGUGCUGCUCAUGUCUUGGUUGGGAAUCUUUUAUGCUGUUGUUUUUGUUUUCUGUGGUUUAGUUCUUGCUUUCUUUUUCUGACUUAAUCAUCUUGGUUUUUUUGUUUUGUUUUUUUUUUUCAUAUGUAUUGAACUUUGGUUUGAUAUUUUGAUUUUUAGAUUUUUUUUCAUUUGAUAUAAUUCGUCAGUUGGGUGUACUUAGUUUGACCUACUAGCCUGAGUUAGAAGAUGUUCCUAUACUGAGUUUUCACUGGAUAUUAUUAAUAAAAUUUUGAUUAUAAAAAAAAAAAAAGGUAUUAUUAUUGAAACUUAAAAACGUUUAGUAAAUUAAUUCAUGAAAAAAUAAAUAAAUAAAUGCAGAUGAGAUUACAUUAAAAAUUGGGCCAGAUUUUUGUAUAAAUGAAAAAAAAAAAAAAGUGGGUCAGAUUUAAAUCUUCCCUCCCCUCAUAUACACAUAAUGGAAAAAAACUACAGAUUAGGAUUAAUGCACGUGAAGCCGAGUUUAAUUAAUUUUGCUAAUAUGCUAUAAAAAUGCAGGUUUCUUGACAAGGCAGCCAUUGUGACGGAAGAAGACAACCUGAAAGCAGGCCAAACACCCAAUCUAUGGAGGCUAAGCACAGUGCACAGAGUAGAAGAAUUGAAAUCUAUAAUCAGAAUGGGACCUAUAUGGGCAGCAGGAAUUCUCCUAAUCACAGCUUACGCCCAGCAAAGCACAUUUUCCCUCCAACAAGCCAAGUCCAUGGACAGGCAUCUCACAAAAUCCUUUCAGAUCCCUGCCGCUUCCAUGUCUGUCUUUACCAUAACCUCCAUGCUCACCACCAUAGCCAUUUAUGAUCGUUUAUUUGUUCCUUUUUUCCGUAGAUUCACAGGGCUUGAUCGCGGCAUAACCUUUUUGCACAGGAUGGGAAUUGGAUUUGUUAUAUCCAUAUUAGCCACUCUAGUUGCAGGCUUCGUGGAAAUCAAGCGAAGACAUGCAGCUGCAGCUAAUGGCCUACUAAAUUCUCAUCACACUAUUCCCAUCUCAGUGUUCUGGCUUGUGCCACAAUAUUCUCUUCAUGGGAUAGCAGAAGCUUUCAUGUCUAUCGGGCAUUUAGAAUUCUUAUAUGAUCAAGCACCUGAAAGCAUGAGAAGCACAGCUACUGCGCUAUUUUGGACAGCGAUUUCAUUCGGGAAUUAUGUGAGCACGCUUCUGGUUACCUUAGUGCACAAGUUUAGUGCAGGCCCUGAUGGAUCAAACUGGCUUCCGGAUAACAAUUUGAACAAGGGGAAACUGGAGUACUUUUACUGGUUGAUCACAUUGAUGCAAGUCGUUAAUCUCGUUUACUACUUGAUUUGCGCCAAGAUGUAUACUUUUAAGCCCAUUCAGAUGCACAGUAAAGAAGCCAGUGACUCUAAAGAUGAUGGGGUAGUGGAGCUUACGAGCAAGAUUUAACACAGUCUACUGGGUUUAUUUCAAAAGUUUGUAGCUAUUAUCAGUGCUUGCGCGUUCAAGGUGACAUAGCUAGCUUGUAUACAAUUAGGCAGGAUCUGAUACUAUGAAUAAAUUUAUAUAUAGUAUGUGAAAAAUGAUGUAGAAUCAAACCCCUUACCAUGCGAUCAUUUUUCAGUAACAGUAACAGAUGAAGAAUUCCAAUCUGCUUGAAUGAUCUCUUGAUGUGCAAUUAUUAUGGGAUGCUAUCGUUAAUCUGUGAUAUAAGAAUUUGUUAUCCUCCUCCUGCAUAUUGAAAUUUGAAGUGCAAAUGGAUCAUGGGCCUAGACCAGAAUGAGCCCUUGAGCUAACUCCAACCCAGAAUUCGCAGAUGACACUCAGAGGAGCGCGAAAGUAGCUGGAAAACCUCCUUGGAAGCAUUUCAGUUGAUGUAUGUGUGUAACUACAAAAUUAUUAUAAGCCAGCUGCAGAACAAAAUAAUCAAGAAUGUGUUGUUUUCGUUAGGUAGACAGCAAUUCUAGCGAAACCUUCCCAAUUCAGCCCAAUCAAUCUCACAAUUCCCCGCUUACACACAUAUUAUGGAAAAUGAAGCAGCCGAGAAACCCCACCAUGACCAGACCCUUUAUUGUUCCCAUUCAAUUUUCAAAUUCUAAUUACCUUUUACCUUUUCAACAUUCCACAUAUCAGAUUUCAAUUCCAUCAUGAGGAGGCAUUUCUUUAACUCCAACUCAACCCAAGCCCUGCAAGAACCACCGCUUUCAUCGUCACAACAACUCGUUCUUCAAGAUUCCGCCAUGACAGCAGCGCCUGCUGAAUCAAACCCCAGAGGACAAACGCCCGUCUGCUAUUGUAGAGGCCUUUGAAGACCUAACCAAGCGUCUAAAUUCCAUUACUGAUCAACGUAAUGAUGUUAAUGGAGGAGAACUUCGAUUGGAUACGUUCUGUGAUUCGUGCUCUCUGGUUUCUAUUCUCUUCAACUGCCUCGGUCUCGCUUUCAAAUUCGCCGAGUCUGAGUAUGUCUCAAAGGUGGGCACUCUUGUUGAAGCAUCGAAGAGACACAAAACUUUGCAAAAUAUACUUGAUAUGGAUGUUGCAAAUGGCACAGUGAGGACACCAGGCAGUCAUUCUCGUAAUUUACGCAGAGUCAGGCAGGGUCUUGAUCUCAUCAGAGCUUUAUUUGAGCAGUUUCUGGCCACCGAUGAUUACUCUUUGAAAGAUGCAGCUACAACUGCUUAUGCACAAGUUUGUGCACCGUACCACACAUGGGCAGUCAGGACAGCCGUUUAUGCCGGAAUGUAUACUCUCCCUUCAAGAGACCAACUUUUGCUGAAGCUCAGUGAAACUGGUGAGUUUUAGUCCAUCUGUGCAUAAAAUGUGUUUGGUUUGUGCAUGGUACCGGAUAUGAAAUUGGAAGAUAUAUUUUCAGUGAUUUGUCUGGUUUGAACUGUGCGAUCAUAUUUUGUAAUAGAGAUUUGCCACACGGAUUGUAUUUAAUUCCCCUGAAUAUUGCACACAGCUUAGAAACUACCACAUGAUUGCAUAAGGUAUAUAACUAUUAUGAAGUUUUAAACUCUGGUGGGCGCAAUAUAUCAAAGGAAGAAAGCAUGAAUAUGGAUGAAUGUUUGGGCAUUUGAGUUCCUUUGAAUAAACAUUAGACAACAACCCAAAAACAGUAUCAAACGGGCUCCAAAGUUGUCAACCAUUGAAAUUUGAAUUUAGUUUCCUAUAACUUUUUAUUCUCAAUGUUGUUUUCAGAUAAGUCUGCAGAGAAGCAAAUGAGAAGGUACAUCAAUGCAUCGCUUCCAGUUAUAGAGUACAUUGAUAAGCUUUACAUUUCCAGGAAUAUCAGCUUGGAUUGGUGACUUGUACCGGUCUGGACUGGACAAAUAAGUCAAUGCAUUGAUUUGUUAUAAAUGAAUCGCAGCUGCAUUCCUAUGGCAGCACCUUGUAAUGGCCUGUAGUUCUAUUUUAUUAGAUUCUUUUUGCCUGUUGUCACACAUUUCUCGGUAGACAACCAACCAAUGAAUACAUUGAUCGGAUUUCACUCAAUUAUCACGUAUCACUAAUCAAUAACAAUCCUGUUCCCAAAUAUGAUUAAAAAAA